AGGAGGUGCGCACAAAGUUAAAUAGUGCAAUGAAAAAGAAAGGGUGGUUAAUCAUCAGUGUCAAACCCAUUGUUCAUGUCAAAGGAGAUCAUAGAUCAGUUCCAAUUAUGAUAGAUAGCCUUUUCCUCCCUUUACGAAUCAGCAAUAUUCUAUCACCUUGAUGUAAGACUUGUGCAGUUAGGCAUCCAACGUCUGAUACAUCUAGAGACCAUCGGAUGGAAGUUCUCAUAAACACCUAUUAUUCUUCUACACAAGAAUAAAAGACUAAGCCACUAAACCCAGGAAAACAACAUGAUUUGGACCAAGGUAAAUGAUGAGAGUUCUCCAUUAGGAUGGACACCAGGAAUGACACCAAAUUUUCACUAGCAUCCAAUAAUGACAGCAAUAGUUGCAUUUUGAAAAUAUUAAUAUAGGUUACCUUCUUUG
rnacentral:lncRNA from 1 species